rnacentral:rRNA from 1 species
UACGGAGGGGGCGAGCGUUAUUCGGAAUUAUUGGGCGUAAAGGGCGCGUAGGCGGCUGAACAAGUCAAAGGUGAAAUCCCUCGGCUCAACUGAGGAACUGCAUUUGUGACUGUAGAGCUGGAGUGCGGCAGAGGGGGAUGGAAUUCCGCGUGUAGCAGUGAAAUGCGUAGAUAUGCGGAGGAACACCGAUGGCGAAGGCAAACCCCUGGGCAUGCACUGACGCUCAUGCACGAAAGCGUGGGGAGCAAACAGG